UGAUGAUGAUGAUGAUGAUGAUGAUGAUGAUGAUGUCAACGAUUUUGCGAUGAUCAUCCACAACAACAAUCCAUAUUUAUCAUCAUCAUCAUCGUAGUCC
rnacentral:miRNA from 1 species